CAGAUUGGUGUCGAUACAAACGAAAAUUUUUAAUUUUUCAUUUUUCCGAAUGAAGGAAGGGGAGAAGGGAAGGUGAUUUAUCGUUCCAGAGUUAAUUACAUCGAGGUCGUUGUGGCAAGAGAAGUGUUCGCUCGCUGGAAAAACGAAAGUUGCACGCUGGGUGGACAUGUGAUACGGAAAAUUGGUUUAUUCGUGGCCAUGCUUGUUCCAUUCAGUAAAAAAAUGAUUAUUUUACCCGAACAUAAAGAUCGGAAUGUUUUGUUCGGUUUGUUAACCGAAAAAGGAUUUACGAAAAUUUCAAUUUUCGGCGCGGUUUGGAUGGAAAAGGGACUGUGCUGCGCCAGCCAAUCAGAAAGCUUCAAAGCGUACCUGCUGCGCGCGACGUUAUUCGGUUGCCGAAAAUCAUCGUGGCAGGACGUGUGAUACCGCUCGAUAUAUAUAACCUCAAUUACGUAAUAGAUAUUUCUGUUAUUAUUCUGUUAAUUUAUAGUUUAAACUGUUAUUAGUUUUGUUUUUUUUCAAUGUGUGUUCGUUUCAUAAGAAAAUAUUAUGAUAGAAUUAAGUGAUAUUGUGAAUUUUCUUUGCUUGUUUUUGUUGAUCGAUUAUUCGACCGUUGAAGUUGCCGGUAUCUCACAUUAUUUAUACUUUUAAGAUCAUUGAUCGAUUUGAAGGAAUGAAUGUUAUGCAUUUUUGACGCUGCGAUGAUUAAUGGCGAAUGAGAUGAGUCUUUAUACAACAUGGUUAUGUUUGAUUUGCAACAAUGGCAGAUAAAAGAAAUUUUCUCGAUAAUUGGAAUAUUUAUUAUUGCAUCAUAUUUGUGAAAUAUUGAACUUACAUCGUCUAAUGUCGGGGGAAAUUGAACAAUGGGCUUGACAGCGAUGUCAUUAAGGGCAGCAGAUCUCCUGUUGAACCGAAUCACACAAUUAAUUUUAUCAAUUUAUAUCAUUAUAUAAUACAUUUUUAAACUUGUUAUUGUUUCUAAAUAAAUUUUAUUACAG